rnacentral:misc_RNA from 1 species
UAAAGGUGCAUGAGUGGUGUUUGGUUUGAUACGGGUGGUCGGCUCCCUGCUUGAGCAGGCACGGCCACGCGUGCAUUCCUUUUCAGCUGUGCGGCAAGGCUUGUAUCGUCUUGAUCGUAUAAGUGGGUUUCCUGUGUUGCAUACCUGAUCAAUGGCAUGGUUUUUGAUCAAAAGCAUACCUUUUUCGUCUAGCGUUGCACCCGCAUCGUUGGAGGAACCAAGCAGCAUCCUCUUUGAUCCAUACAGUUGAUGUUCAUUCGUUGAUUGUUUGGCCCAUUGAGGGUGGCUUGGUCUCUUGAAUAUGGAAGCCAAAGUGGGCAUGGGAUCGCAAGAUCCCUUUACUGCCCUUAUUGAGCGUUCUCGCUUCUCUUACACGACCGCCUUUCAUGUAUGGCACGUCUCAGCAUGUUUGGCUAUGUCGA